UACGUAGGGUGCAAGCGUUGUCCGGAAUUAUUGGGCGUAAAGAGCUCGUAGGCGGUCUGUCGCGUCGGAUGUGAAAACCCAGGGCUCAACCCUCGGGCCUGCAUUCGAUACGGGCAGACUAGAGUUCGGUAGGGGAGACUGGAAUUCCUGGUGUAGCGGUGAAAUGCGCAGAUAUCAGGAGGAACACCGGUGGCGAAGGCGGGUCUCUGGGCCGAAACUGACGCUGAGGAGCGAAAGCGUGGGGAGCGAACAGG
rnacentral:rRNA from 1 species